AAAGCAUUCUUGGAAGCUAGCUUUGCAGCGGGACUGUCAGGACAAGUACUGUGUAUCCAAAGGUCCUCUCCUCUGCUCUAUUGAGCCCUAGCCCUAUGAAGUGACCCCAGAAAAUGCUUUCCUUCCAAUUUCAUCAUUUACGCUGUCUGCCAAGCACCUCGUCAGCUCACAUCUGGACACUUUGCUCAAGCAGCAUGGGGACGUACCUGUGACCCAAGCUGCACCAGUCGGAAUGUCCUGCCAGGGAAUGUGGGUCUUGAGCCGAGUGAUGCCAGGAUGGAGCGUGGUGAAGGCUGAUUCGUCCAGACAGCCUCCCCUGGGGGAGAUUGCCCUUUGGUUCCCACACUCUAGAUCCCAGCGUCUGCUCUGAGUUGCAUCCUUUCAGCUUCCUCCCAGAUUUUCAGCUGCCUCCCAUCUUUCAUUCAAUUCUUUUUCUGCUCAAGUUAGCCAGAUUCAAUUUCUAUUGAAUUUGACCAAAGCACCUGGACUAACACGCAUCCUAAGGGUGGGGAGGAGGGGGGCUGUACUUAUUGCUCAGCCAGUGCUUCUCAUUUUGACUCCUGCCCAACCAUAGCACUUUCUGUUCAUGGAUUGAGGUGGAGCUGAGUGAGAAAAGCAGGAUCCUAUUAUCCACACAUUUUAGGGCCAGAGAAGGACUCCGUGCUUCUAUAUUUGAGUCCUUGCGGACAAACUGCAAGGUAGCUUAAUAGGCAGACAAGAUUGAAAACCUAACUUAGGAGUAUCUGCUUGUAACUACAGCUGAGUUGUCUUGGCCAAUUCCAGCAGCCAUACUUCAACCAUUCACACACUGCUGAGUGUUCAAACUGGGUUCAAAUAAGGCAAACGCCAACUUUUAACCAACCCAGCCAUUCUAUACCUCACUUCCGAUUUCUGUACUUUAUUUUCCUUUUUUUGUCUGUAAGUCUUCUUCCACCACGUAGCUGCGCUGGAGUCUUUGUGAAUCUGCUGUGAUUCUGGGGGCUGCCCGAUUCACAAAUCAUUCAUUGCUCAAUUAAACUUCUUUAAAUUUAAUUCAGCUAAAGUUUUUCUUUUAUCGAAAUGAAAUUG
rnacentral:lncRNA from 1 species